CUUCCUUAACCUCUGAAACCUCAUUGCAAGCCAAGUCAUUUGUCCCUAGAUGGACAAGUACAUCCAAUUCCCCUUCCUGCUUUGCACGCUUAACAAUAUUACAGAUACAUCUCCUGUCUCUGUGAGCAGUAGCUCUGGGAAGACACCUCACAAGACCACCAUUGUCCAUCUCCACACCUCUUAUGAUGGAAUCCCCCAACAACAACUGCUUUCUAUUAGGCCUCACCAUAGUCUCCAAGCCUGUCUCCACAACACCACUACCCUCAGUGCCUCUCUCCACAACACCACUACCCUCAGUGCCUGUCUCCAUAACACCAUUACACUCUGAAAGUGCAGAAAAUGAAUUAUGUAG